GUAGGGGGCUAGCGUUGUCCGGAUUUAUUGGGCGUAAAGCGCGUGUAGGCGGCCGGCUAGGUCUGGUGUGAAAACUCGAGGCUCAACCUCGAGAUGUCGCCGGAAACCAGUCGGCUAGAGUCCGGAAGAGGAGAGUGGAAUUCCUGGUGUAGCGGUGAAAUGCGCAGAUAUCAGGAAGAACACCCAUGGCGAAAGCAGCUCUCUGGGACGGUACUGACGCUGAGACGCGAAAGCGUGGGGAGCGAACAGGAUUAGAUACCCUGGUAGUCCACGCCGUAAACGAUGGGCGCUAGGUGUGGGCGGUGUCGACUCCGUCCGUGCCGAAGCUAACGCAUUAAGCGCCCCGCCUGGGGAGUACGGCCGCAAGGCUAAA
rnacentral:rRNA from 1 species